GAAUAUUGGACAAUGGGGGCAACCCUGAUCCAGCCAUGCCGCGUGGGUGAAGAAGGCCUCUUGGUUGCAAAGCACUUUAAGCCGUGAAGAAGACUCCAUUGUUAAUACACAUGGACGUUGACAUUAGCUGCCGACUAAGCACAGGCGAACUCUGGGCCAGCAGCCGCGGUAAUACAGAGGGUGCAAGCGUUAAUCGGAAUUACUGGGCGUAAAGCGAGCGUAGGUGGCUUGAUAAGUCAGAUGUGAAAUCCCCGGGCUUAACCUGGGAACUGCAUCUGAUACUGUUAGGCUAGAAUAGGUGAGAGGAAGGUAGAAUUCCAGGUGUAGCGGUGGAAUGCGUAGAGAUCUGGAGGAAUACCGAUGGCGAAGGCAGCCUUCUGGCAUCAUAUUGACACUGAGGUUCUAAAGCGUGGGUAGCAAACAGG
rnacentral:rRNA from 1 species